AUUGAACGCUGGCGGCAGGCCUAACACAUGCAAGUCGAGCGAGUGGCGGACGGGUGAGUAAUGUCUGGGGAACUGCCCGAUGGAGGGGGAUAACUACUGGAAACGGUAGCUAAUACCGCAUACCAUCGGAUGUGCCCAUAUGGGAUUAGCUUGUAGGUGAGGUAACGGCUCACCUAGGCGACGCUCCCUAGCUGGUCUGCGAGGAUGAUCAGCCACACGUGGACUGAGACACGGCCCAGACUCCUACGGUAGGCAGCAGUGGGGAAUAUUUCACAAUGGGCGCAAGCCGGAUGCAGCCAUGCCGCGUGUAUGAAGAAGGCCUUCGGGUUGUAAAGCACGUUAAGUUGGGAGGCGUUACCAACAGAAUAAGCACCGGCUAACUUCGUGCCAGCAGCCGCGGUAAGUC
rnacentral:rRNA from 1 species